AUUGAACGCUGGCGGCAGGCCUAACACAUGCAAGUCGAGCGAGUGGCGGACGGGUGAGUAAUGUAUGGGGAACUGCCCGAUGGAGGGGGAUAACUACUGGAAACGGUAGCUAAUACCGCAUACCAUAGGAUGAGCCCAGGUGGGAUUAGGUAGUUGGUGAGGUAAAGGCUCACCAAGCCGACGAUCCCUAGCUGGUCUGAGAGGAUGACCAGCAAAACUGGAACUGAUACACGGUCCAGACUCCUACGGGAGGCAGCAGUGGGGAAUAUUGCGCAAUGGGGGCAAGCCUGACGCAGCCAUGCCGCGUGAAUGAAGAAGGCCUUCGGGUUGUAAAGUACUUUCGGUGGCGAGGCGUUAACUGCAGAAGAAGCACCGGCUAACUCCGUGCCAGCAGCCGCGGUAAUAC
rnacentral:rRNA from 1 species